AUUAGUAAAAUUAUGUAAAUUUAAUUAAUUUAAUUUUUUUUUAGAUUUAAUUAAGGAAUUAGGCAAAAAUUUUUAUUCACCUGUUUAAUAAAAACAUCGUUUAUUUGAUAAUAAUAAUAAAUUAGUUCUGCUCAAUGAAAUAAUUUAAAUAGCUGCAGUAUUCUAACUGUACUAAGGUAGCAUAAUCAAUUGAUUUUUUAAUGAAAUCUAGAAUGAAAGAAUAAAUGAAAUAAAUUCUGUCUUCAAUUAAAAUAAUAUUUAAAUUUUAUUAUAAGUAAAAAUUCUUAUAAAUUUAUAAAAGACGAGAAGACCCUAUAGAAUUUUAUUUAUUUAAUACUUAUUUUAUAUUAUUUAUUAUGAUAAUUAUUAAAUAAAUUGUAUUGGGGGUAUAUAAAAAUUUAAAUAAUUUUUUAAUUAGAAAAACAAAAAUAUUUGAUUAUUUUAUAUCUUUUAUUAAUAAAAUUAUAAUAAAUUACCUUAGGGAUAACAGCGUUAAAUUUUUAAAUAGUUCAUAUUGAUAAAAAUUUUUGCGACCUCGAUGUUGAAUUAAAAUAAAUUAUUGUUGUAGAUGAUAAUAAUAUUUAGUCUGUUCGACUAUUAAAAUUUUACAUGAUUUGAGUUUAGAUCGGUGUGAGCCAGAUCGGAUUCUAUCUUUAUAAAAUUAAUGUAUUUUUGUACGAAAGGACUUUAUACUUAUAAAAUUUAUAUAAUUUAUUGAAUAA
rnacentral:rRNA from 1 species